UACGUAGGAGACAAACGUUAUCCGGAUUUACUGGGCGUAAAGGGCGUGUAGGUGGUAUCGUAAGUCUGGCGUGAAAUUUCUCGGCUUAACCGAGGCAGGUCGUCGGAUACUGCGAGGCUAGAGGACGGUAGAGGCGUGUGGAAUUCCGGGUGUAGUGGUGAAAUGCGUAGAGAUCCGGAGGAACACCAGUGGCGAAGGCGACACGCUGGGCCGUACCUGACACUGAUGCGCGACAGCAUGGGGAGCAAACAGG
rnacentral:rRNA from 1 species